GGGGGAUCUCCUGUUAUAUAUGUUUCCAUAUUAGGAAGUGUUUGGUCUAGUUUUUGAAAAGUGACUUUUAGCUUAAUUAAUAGAGCGUCUAGCAAUUUCGUUUUUAAAAUCUGAUUUUGAUUUUUAGAAUCAGUUUUUUGAUUUUUGAUGUCCAAAAUUAGAAGCAGUUAAAAUUUACUUUUUGAAAUCUAAUUCUAAUUUUAAACUCAAACUUUAAAUUCUUAUUUUAAUUGAAAACUUAUUACUAUAUA
rnacentral:lncRNA from 1 species